GGGGUUAAAUUAAAAAAUUAAUAAUAAUAAAAAAAAUUUUAAUAUUAAAAAGAAAAAAUGGGGGUUAGAGUAUUUUUAAUAGAAAAAAUUAAUAAAUUUAUAGUUAAUUAUUACUGUAAAGGAAAUUAUAAAUAGGGGAUAAUUAAUUAAGUGAAAAGUAAAUUUAAUUUAUUGUAUCUUGUGUAUCAGAGUUUAUUAAAAAAAAUAAUUUAUUUAAAUAAAUCUCGAAUUUAAAAGAGUUAAUUAAUUAAUAAAUUUACUGUUGAAUAAUUAUUUUAAAUAAUUAAUUAGAAAUGAAAUGUUAAUCGUUUUUAAAUAUAUCUAGUUUUUUUAGAAAAAAAUUUAAUUUUAAAUAAAAAUAAUUUUAUAAUUAAUUAAUUAAUUAUAAGAAUUUAGAAUUUAAUAUUUUAGGGGAUAAGCUUUAAAUUAAAAUGUUAUAAUUUAAUUAAUAAAAAUUAAAAUUUUUAAAAUUUAUAUUGUUUAAAAAUUAAAAUUUUUUAUAAAAAAUUUUAAUUAAAAUAAAAUUUAAAUUAAAUUUAAUUUUUUAUAAAAAAAUAAUUUAUAAUAAAUUAAAAUUAGAAAUAAUGAUAAAAUUAGUAUAUUAUAAUAUUAGAAAAUAAUAAUAAUAAAAAUUAAGUUAAAGGAAUUCGGCAAAUUUUUAUAUUCACUUGUUUAUCAAAAACAUGUCUUUUUGAAAAUAAUUUAAAGUCUAAUCUGCCCACUGAUAUAAUUAUUAAAGGGCUGCAGUAUAUUGACUGUACAAAGGUAGCAUAAUCAUUAGUCUUUUAAUUGAAGACUUGUAUGAAGGAUUUGAUGAAAUAUAAACUGUCUCUAACUUAUUAAUAUAAAAUUUAAUUUUUUAGUUAAAAAGCUAAAAUAAAAUUAAAAGACGAGAAGACCCUAUAGAGUUUUAUAAUUAAAUUAUUUUUUAAUUAAUAUUAAAUUAUUUAUAAUAAUUAAUUUAAUUAUUGUAUUGGGGUGAUAAGAAAAUUUAAAAAACUUUUUUGAAAAUUAAACAUAGAUAAAUGAUUAAAUGAUCCAUUAAAUAAUGAUUAUAAGAAAAAAUUACCUUAGGGAUAACAGCGUAAUAUUUUUUUUUAGUACAAAUAAAAAAAAAAGUUUGCGACCUCGAUGUUGGAUUAAGAUAAAAUUUAAAUGCAAAAAUUUAAAAUUUUGAUCUGUUCGAUCAUUAAAAUCUUACAUGAUCUGAGUUCAAACCGGUGUAAGCCAGGUUGGUUUCUAUCUUUAAUAAAAAAAAAUAUUUUAGUACGAAAGGAUCAAAUAUUUAAAAUAAUUUUAAUAAAAAGAAUAUUAAUAAUUAAUUAAUAAA
rnacentral:rRNA from 1 species